rnacentral:rRNA from 1 species
AUUGAACGCUAGCGGCAUGCUUUACACAUGCAAGUCGAACGAGUGGCUGACGGGUGUGUAACAUAUCGGAACUUGCUCAGUAGCUGGGGAUAACUCCGCGAAACAGUGGCUAAUACCGCAUACCUUUGGAGCGGCCGAUAGGGGAGUAGCUAGUUGGUGGGGUAAAGGCUCACAAAGGCAACGAUCCGUAGCUGGUUUGAGAGGACGACCCGCCACACUGGGACUGAGACACGGUCCAGACUCCUACGGGAGGCAGCAGUGGGGAAUUUUGGACAAUGGGGGAAACCCUGAUGCAGCCAUCCCGCGUGUAUGAGAAGGCCUUCGGGUUGUAAAGUACUGUGGGCAGAGAAGCGGUAUCUGAAGAAUAAGCACCGGCUAACUACGUGCCAGCAGCCGCGGUAAUUC